CCCACGUUUGGUUCUGGACUCGGUUCUGGGCUUCCAGGAGGGUGGUGACCUGAGGUCGAGGGUCACGCCGGGCUCACAUCGGUUUCCCUUCCGGGUCAGCCGGAAGCGCAACCGCCGCCGCGUGGGCCUGCCGGUGGGUUCUCCGAGAAAUGGCGGCGGACGCGGGACCCAGGUGCUGGUUCCUGGCUUCAGAAUAUCAUCUGGGUCUCCCACGAGGGUAGCAGGGACCCGAAUACUUGAGCUGCCACCUGCUGCCUCCUGGGUGCACAUUAGCAGGAAGCUGGUUCAGAAGCAGAGCCAGGACCCAGAGCCAGUACACGCUGCCUGAUCUGGUUAAACACCCUGCAUGUUCACAGCCCUCGGCCCUUCGUGGACUUCUGCCCUCACUCACUUUCCUGGAAGUCACUGGGGGGACAUGAAGAAGCUGAAUGCUGUGAUGGUGCUCUGCAGUGUCUCUGGUUAUCUGAGAAUUUAAACUCCAGCCCCCUCCCCCACCAGCAUUUGAAUGAACACUGCCGGAAGUUCAAAAGCUGAGGAUGCCAGGGGACAAGACCCCGAGUGCUGCAGGCCCAAGCGUGCAUCUGGAGGGAAGCAGAGGAACCCUGGAGAGACAGCGUGGUCUGUGAGCGAGAGCAGCCGAGGGCACGUGUCACGUCCAGCCUUGUGCCUCCGGGACUGUCAGCUUUGUGUUGCUAACAAGUGAGAUGAAACAGCUCUGAAAAGGCAAAAUACAAUUGCCCAAGGACAUCUGCUUAACAGGAGUACCCCAGGGCCGACUUCUCCCAUAAAUCAUCGUCGCACUGAUGCUGGCCACCCUACGAGGGGACAGUUAGGGCCAGGGGGACAUUUUCCGUGAACAACACGCCUCAUCUUCACUCAGUUGUGGGGCCUUGGGUGGCUGAACACAGUCGCCAGUGUUCUCACCAGGGCUCACCUUGGACAGCGAGAUGAUCCUGAAGAGCAUGGCUGUUGUCUGUCCCUGCUUCCCCAGAGCCGCCUGCGGCAGACUGAGCUCGGCGUCCACCUAGAAGCAGGUACCUGCAUCAGAGACUGGGGAUGCCUCCGUGACUGGGCGUCGGCCACCUGUACAACCUGAUGUCCCAGAAGAAGCCCUCCCCGGCAGAUUACAGGGCUGGUCAAGGAGAACCAGGAAACUCCAGGUUCAAGUGGCUUCGCCCCUGGAAGUCUCCUGGGAGUCGGCCUUGGAGGCCAGCGAUGGAGGAAGUGUCCACCACUUCUACUGCUUGCGGACGAGACGCCUCCCUGUGCUGGCUCAGUCCUCGGCCCCAGGGGUCCAGUGACUCACAGGGGCGCUGAGAUAAACGCAUUCUCCCAAACGGCACCUGAGCCUUGACACGACUCCCAGUUGUCCAGGCGUCACUCCCGACUCCAGGGGCUCCCUGAAGCCAAUGUUGGUCCCACCCAUGGAUGCCCUCGGGGCCAGGGGCAGGCAGAACAGAGGCAGGCGCCAAGAAGCCACCACGGGAUUUUAGCGGAGGAACAGCAGGACCAGAUAGGAUUUUGAUGAAUGAAGAUUUGGGGAAUUUUCCUUUAAAACGAUAGAUGCCUCCAGCAGUUUUCCUGCUCGCUCCCCGCUCUGAGAAGCAGACUUUACCUCCCCAGUGCCUGCCGCUGGUCCCCGGCCGCAGCAGAGCAGUGGCUGUAGAAGCCGUCAGGCGCAGACACGAGGCUGACACGGCCACGGAAGAGAAGCAGCAGGGGUGGCAGCCUCUCCCCGGGAACAGUGACGCCCGUUUCCAUGACUGCAGCUGCCUUUGGUCAGUUUGCUUCUUCCUGCUGCCAUCGGGCCUGUGCAGAGUGGACAGCAGAGCAGCAGAGCAGGUGCCUGUGCGUCCCGUGGGGAGCCGCGGAGCCUGGGGUCGAGAGUGAGUCGCAGAUGUGUGGUGACAGCACUGGCACGCUCAGUGAGGGCCGGGACCCGGUGCCUCCAGCGCUCUGUGUAAAGUGCAUCAGCAGGGAGCUGGAUGGAAAGUGGAGCCACCUGGACUCAAACUAGCACUCUGGGAAGGCUCAGAGUCGCAAACCGUGGCUUAAGCUGGUGCGCUCCAAUGCCGAUCCACAUUUCAGAAUCCGCUGUGGACUUGGAAGAGUCAUCAAGCCCUGCCGCGGCUCUGGUUGAACUGACGAGGAGACUGCAUGGCAGGAGAUGCACCCUGCAGACCCCCUGCCACAGAUGGUGUCCGUGGCAGACGUCUGGGAGAGCUGACUGCUGUCACCCGUGUGGGGACGACGUGGAGCUGUCACUCAGGGGAUCCCUGGAAUGAGGCUGUCUCAGAAGAGCCGACUCCUGCUUGCAGCCUGAACUCGCCCAUUAGCACACCCACGAGCAACUCCAGGUUGCACUGAAUUCGACAGGGAACCCUCCUGUGUGGGCCAGACGACAACGUGUAGCCACGGCAACCAGCACCGUGCCUCCUGGAGUAGCUGCUGGAUAAACGUGACGCCUUCUGCGACGGUGGGAAGCAGCACUUCCGCUGGGGCUGAAACAUCUACAGCGAGGCCGACAGUAAUACAGCAGUGACUGCGUAACGUCCUCUUCCCAGAUUGGCCCCUGGCCACCUGCCUCCUGUGGAAUCUGCAACGUGGGACCUCAGACCACCCCCUCUGCUGCUCGAAGCUGCUCCCAGGGUGUCCCCAGGGAGGGCCUCUCCAAGACCUGCCCCACAGCUCCUGGUUCCUUAGAGAAGACCCCACGGCCUCAGGAGCACUGGUGGGAGCUGGGGUGCGUGUGAGGUCCUGCGCCUCCCUGUGUGGGGUGGGUGGGGCGGAGCGCAGGAGCGGAGGCCAGGACUCAUCACCACAGCGGGGCUGCUCUCGCGCCCACUGGCCUCAGGAAGUGCAUCCCAGAGUUCUGUGUCAGAGGACAGCUCUGGACAAGCUCAGGUGCACCGCUGCCGUCUGCAGAGCCCGCUGGACAAGGGCUGCCUCCUCUCGCUGCCGGGGUCCCUGCCGCUGCUGAGUCUGCUCGGACUCCACGGGGUCCGCAUCCGGGACUUGGGCUGUGGCGCCCGUCCCCGCCUCCUGCGCGGGCAGUGCCUGCUUGGAUGCACCCGCACCGCGUGCCCCACGGGGACUUGGGAAGCGUUCUGUGUGCUGCAGAGGUCGGGACUGUUUCUCCGGUUCCCGAGUCUCUGAAAUCAGCAGGGCCCCUGUGGCCCUGGUGGCAUCGUCGGCAUUGAUGACGCGAGCCGGGGCGUCCAGCUUCCUUGGCUGUGGGGCUCCUGGGUUAAGGGAGCAAGGAGAGACGGCAGGGCACGUCGGCGCUGUUCCUGGCCCAGGCUCUGCUUUAUUUCAGGAUGACAGGUUUGGAAGGGCGGCCUCAGACCAAGCCUCUUCCUGCGUUAGCGAUGAACAUUAACCCCAUUACAGCGAUUCCAUCUCCCGCCUGCUGUUCUAGCGAAGUCGGAAUUAAGAAGCCGUGCUGCUCACGGGCAAUUAGCAGCCCCGAGAGGACGAAGGGCCGAGAGCAGCUGACGGAGCAGCCCUGGGAGAGGAGCGGCGCUGGCUCGGAGUCCAGGUAGCAGGCAGGUGCCCGUGCGGCGGUGCCUAGUGCAGGGGGUGGAAGGACGUCUGUCCCCAGGGACCCCGCCCCACACCGUGCCUGCCAGGUCCCGUCUCUGACCGCCCAGGCUGCCACCACCCCUGUCCUGAGCACCGCCCCGAGCAGAAGGAGGCAGCUUCCAGUUCACGGUGCUCCGGGCCCCUGGUCCGCUGCACAGCAGGGAACCUGUGCUCUUAGAGAUGAGUGAGAUCCUGGCUGUGGGUGCUGGAACAGAGGGGAGAUGGUCUGGGCACCUGCUGUGGCUGGCUGGCAGGAGCGUGGAGCACAGCGCCUGGCUCCCUCGCCCACCAGUGCAGCGGGAGGGGCGCGUCUGGCCCAGCUCCGGGCCCCCGCGUGCUGGGAGCUGCCUGCUCCUUCCGUCAGGUGUGCAGCAGUGGUGUCUGUGUGUCCUGCCCUGGCUCCCGCCAGUGCCUCCUGCCCCCGAGAGCACCCACCCGUGAGCUCUGACCAGCAGGUGUUGGAGGCUUCACCGAAGGCUGCUCCCGUCCCCAGGAGCUGCUGUCACUGCACUCUGCCCAGCCACAUGUUCUCCAUGGACUGUGUGAUGGGAGAGACCGGGGGACGCCCAGAAGCUGGGGGAUGCGCUCCGUGUGCAGCACGGGAGGGUGUGGCUCCCGCGAUGACUGGCGGCAGAAUCCAGGACAGCUGCUGCAUGCGCUGCUCUGUGCUAGGCCUUCCCUCGCACGCGCCUUCCGUGUCCCUGAGGCCCUGAGAUGGUUGCUCCUCUUCCCGCUCCGUUUCACAGACGAGAACGCUGGGGCUUACAGAGGUGCGGAACAGUGGCUUCCCAAGCCGAGGGUGCAGCGGGCACGCGGAGAGCCCCGGGCCGCUGAUGACAUCUCCUCUCCCUGCACACCAAGCAGGAUGAACGAGGCAGCUUGUGCAGCGUGAUGGGAACGAGCGUGGCACUCUGCCCGCACUGCUACCGCGCCCUCCCGCUGACCCGCCGUGGAACGACAGCGUCAGGCCUCUGGUGUGACAGUGAGCCUCACAGGAGGGUUCUGGAAGGAGACAGUCACAGCCUGAGACCCGGAGAGGGCAGGCGCAGUGGCCAGGGCAGCGAGGGGAGCAGGGAGUGGGGAGUUCGCCGAUGUGCAGCCGGAGGGCGGGUGUGAAAGGGGCCACUGUGGACACGGGCACCUCCCUCUGGAACACAUCUCUCCCGGCCACCUCUCCUGGCGCCUGCGCCGCUGUCUGCAGACGUCGCUCUGAGGUGGCAGGCGCGUGCCGAGGGAGGUGCCACGCCCUGCAGUUGCUUUGAGCCCACGCUGACCCGAGUGUCCAGGAGCAUGCACUCCCCGUGUCACCCGGCGGGCAGGCUCCCCGGGCAUAGGGCCCAGAGCUGCUCAUGGUGACGCCCACCCCUGAGUCACCUGCUGUGGACUCAGGGCCCAGUGGUUCUCGAGUUCUUCCCACACCAGGGGUACAAGCAGGAAGAGGACCGGCAGCUCCGCGGGGAGGAAAAGAGGAAGGGUGGAAACCAGUGAGGGUCCCGGCAGCCAUGCCUUCAGGCCCUGGUCUGCUGACCCAUUCACCUGUUCAGUAAACAGUAACUGAAGCCCGGAUGCCCCAGACCUGGUGGGCGGGGCACGGGUGCCUAAGCUUCUGUGCUCCAUUGUGACAGCUGUGAGGAGAAGCUAGGUCUGCGUGGGUGUCCACCAGGGCCUGGGACGGGACUCUCCUCCCCAUGGUCACACAAGCGUUUCCCACAGGAGGAGAGCCUUGCAGAAGGCAGAGGUCGUUGAUGGUGGGAGCUCCAGGCAUCCCAGCUGUGUGGCCUCCAGGUGGGAAGCCCUGGGCACAAAACAGGGAGUGGAACUGGACGGGACCAGGGAGGCCGAGGAGCAGAGCCCCCCAGCACAGGCAGGGACCUGGGGUUUCUCGGCCUGGGCUCCACCCCCUAGCAUCUGACCCUGGCUUCUAUUGGGGGUGGGCACAUGACCUUGGUGGGGCCACAGCAGCAAUGACCUGAUGAGGGGCUGAGGAUGGGAGACCCCACCCACUGUACAGCAUCCCGGGCACAGCCGUGGGAACCGUGCUUGGCCAACAGCUCGCCUCCCCCGGCCUGUGAGCAGGAGCACGAGACGCGGCCGAGGGAGUUCGGAAUGCCAGCGAGGCGGUGGUGUGCCGGUCGCAGCCCUGUGCGGUGCCCUGCUGCCUCUCUUCCUCCCACCUGGAAGCCGGGCCCACUCUGUUCUCUUUCCCCACAGGAAUACCAGUACGAGUUCCAGCUGCUUGCAGACCGGAGCUGGCCAGAGGAGCGGGGUGUCCUGCGGAUGCUGACUUCAGCCUGUGGUCAGGGAUCACUUGCUGUGUGGUUCCGUCAUGGAGGGAUCGAUGCAGUCUUCUUUGUGUCUCAGCCUGAGCCAGGCGCGAUAGGAAAGGACGCGCCUCCCGAGGCUCCCCAAGCAUCGAGGAAAGCUGUGGCCACGGGGCUGGCACACCUGUCGCGGCCGUCACGUCCUCUCUGCCAGCACCAGCUCCGAGGAGGCAGCCCACAUGCAUCAUGAAUCUUCACGCACCGGCACACGUGUGACACCCGGCACAGGAAGGUGUUCCUGGCAGGCCGAGAGAAGGAAGGGACGAGGGAGGCGCUGCCGCGGGAUCUCGCUGAGCACGCUCCUUGGCGAAGGGCGUGAAUGAACCUGGACAGGUCAGGUCGAAAGUUCGAGUGUGGAAGCUGCGCCUGCUCCUCCAGUCACCUGGGAGAUGACUGUGAGGUGGCCUCUGACCCCUGAGGAAGACCAGCCUGGGCCGUGGGGACGUCACCAGGUCGCGUCCACCUUGAGAGCACACUCGUGGAUCCGGCUGCCAGCUCCCACAGGUGGAGCGAGGCCUGCUCCCCCACGUGGGACACAUCCCCAGCCUGAUGCCCUCUGAGGGCGCAGGAGCCGGCCUUCCCGAGGCAGAGCUCGGCCUGGGCAGGGACCAUGGCCAGAUGAUGGAAACCAGCAUGGCUGAGACCCGUUGCCGGAGGCUCGGCAGCAGCUAGUCAGCGGGGAGGUGUUCUGGAAGUUUCAAGAAAUCACUUUGGCUGUCUGCGGGACCAGCAUGAGGCCACAGCUCCUGCUGAUGUCCGGGACACAGGUAAGAUGGGUUCCUUUCCCCGUCAUCUUCCUCCGCCAAACGUGGAUUCCAGGGACAGGCGUUUGGUGCCACAGUUCAGUCACCACUAGGGGUGUCCACAUCCCAUAGCAGGGCGCCUGGUUCCUCCACUUACGGUUCCAGCUUCCUGCUGAAGUGCACCCUGGGAAGCAGAGGGUGGCCCAGGUACUUGGAUUCCUGGUCCGGGUGGACUUCCAGACUCCUGGCUUCAGCUUGGCCCAGUCCUAGCUAUUGCAGGCAUUGGGGCAGGGAGGCAAUAGAUGGGAGCGCACGCGCGCACUCUCUCUCUUUCUCUCUCAAGUAAAAUGAAAAUAAAUAAAAAUGUGCAAAAUGAACUCUGCCAUAAACACAGAACUUGCCAGGCACACUUUCACCAGUACAGGCAGCACACCUGAAGUCGGGGACCCUGGCACACAGAGCCUGGGUCCCUGCAGGGACCCUAUCAGGCAGAGCCCUGGUGUGGUGGUCCCUGUGGGGAUUCUCACAGGGAUGCCUCCAGGACCCCUACUCAAUCCACGUUGCAUCCUUCUUGGUUUGACCAGAGUGACCCUGUAUAUAAAAUGGCCCAGAGAUUAAUUUCCUUGUAAUCUAAGUCAUUUUGAUAACAUUGGCUUGAAUCUCCCAAAUCAACCAGAAAACAGCCCUCAGCAGAAACGUGAACUGAGAUGCCUUGCUUGCAAAUUCCCUCGCUGUUUGUCCUGGCCCUUUGCAUCCGUGUGCUUCUGACCACUGCAUGUAGGGCCCUCAGCCGCUGCCCACUGCAGAGUCCUGGCUGUGUAGGAAGCUCCACACUACCUAUGCACUUAGAAAGCAAAGCACAGCGUCUGACUCGCUCCGUUCCUCCUAACGGAGGAACAGCGUGUUGCUGUCAUUUGCUUGGGACGAUGAGUACCAACCGAGGAGGGGGUUGGAUGAAAACUGCACUGGAAACAGGGAAGCUGAACUGCUGGCGGGUGGGUGCACGCUGUGGUGAGGAGCUUACCUGCUCUGUGCCUCCGUUUCUCCACUCAGAUCUCAGCAUGGACUCUUCCACAGGGCAUGCGGGGAUCAGAGGGCGGGUGGGUGUUCCACGCACAAGAGCAAGCUGGUCCCUCUCCUAACUCGGUUGCAGACUGGCCCUGGUCAAGGGGCUGUGUCUUGCUUCGAGAUGAACUGAGAUGAAUUAUGGAGGACUUGGGCACGAUUCAGAGAGAGCAGUGAGGAUGAUCCAACGCCUGGGAAAUGAGCCCCACAAGAAAAGACCAGAGAGAGAAAUCCAGGGUGUUGGGCAAUAGAAGGGUGAUCGAGAAUGUGAGGUAAGCCCUGGCGAUAAGCAUAUUGACACACGCCGUUACGUCAUGCAUGGGUUCUACACGGUGUGACGUCACGUGUAGACCCUGCGUGCACUGUGAUGUCACACACAGAUGUUCCGUGUGCGUGGCUGCUCAUUUGUAACACUGCCUGCAGAAACCGUGAGGUCAUGGUCAGAACCUGGCUGGAGUUGAACAGAGAAUCCAGGCUCAAGAAACACUUCCACGUUCACGCAUCUGGCUAAAUGCCAAAGCUCAGAGCUCGGCGCAGGCCCAGUCUGAGCCCUGCAGCCACGCCGCCUGGCGAGGCUUCCCCAGGGGAUCUGCAGGCCGCACUCAGGCAGGCACAGCGGCCGCCACCGUCCUUCAGGGCUCACCGUGCAUCAGCGCCACGCGUUUGAGGCUUUACUUAUUCUCUCUACAUUCCUGUCCACUGGAUCAUCCUUCCUUCCUGAGCUGAAUGAAGCCAGCAGUUACAAAACAAAACAAAAAAAUUGGAAACAGAAGCUGCGACUUUGCAAAGAUGGCUGGAAGCUGGUGGUGCAGUGGGUGUAGACGACGGGCGCAGCAGCAGCGGAGCUCCAGGGAGUGCUGUGCGGGACACACGCCGCUGAAGGACCAGGAACGCGGCGCUGCCCUGGAAGACGCCGUGCUCUGUCGGGUCGUUCUGAGAGGCUGUUGUGGGUGCUGGCACACACACACACGUGAGGGUGGUGAAAAAGUGCGGGACAUGGAAUGAAAAGACAGGCUUUAUUGUGGUGGGAAAAACAUUCAAAUCCACCACAGAUUUUCAGUAACACAAAGUUUCCGUGAGCCUCGGAAGCUGCCUCUUACCUGCAUCCACGUGUGCGUGUGUGUGCACCCUCUCACGUGUAUGGGGGUGUUGCCUGGACUAUUUCUCAGGAGGCAGGGAGACCCCAGAACGCUGGUUACCAGUUACGGAGACCCUGUGAGGCGCGCAGGACCGUCUCUGCUCUCUGUCGCGCGACCGCGUUUUGAGCACUGGGUGUGAUUCCUGCGAUGCAGCCGAUGAAAUCUGACAGCAAGAGCGACUGGUGUCAGCUGAAGACGGCUUAGGAAGUGCGGAGAACUGGCCACAGAGACGCUUUCAGAUCCAACUGCAGUGACCACUGAGCCUGGAGCCAGGGAGAAAUGUGGAGAGCCCGGGAGAUGCCAGCGUGGGGGGAGCUGGACACGGCAGAGGCGCCGUCAGUGGCAGCGUGAGCGUGAGCCUCUGAAAUCCAACUUCUACCACUUCAGCUUCACUUUCUAAAGUUAAAUGUUUUAACUUACACGUGUAUUUGAAGGUGGGGGGAGAGAGAUUGAUUGACUGACUGACUGAUUCCAUCCUUGGUUCAUUCCCCCUAUUUUUGCAACAGCCGGAGCUGGGCCAGGCCAAGGCAGGAGCUGGAAGUCAGCUACUUGCUCCAUCACCCCUGCCCCUCAGGACCUAAUAGCAGGAAGCUGGAUGCCCCAGUGGUGUCUUCAGGGCCAGGUGAAAGGCCCACCCUUACGGCUUCACUUCAAGUCCCCAGCAGUGGCUCUGUUCCCUCUGGGGACCCAGGAGCACACCAGCAGCCAAUGCAGAGGCUGCAGAGAGAGUGACAGGGCCCUCGGCCACUCUGUCCCCCCACCGCACCUCCUGUCUGUGCCUCUGCGCUCUCUCCACUGCCGUCUCUGUGCAGUGGCCGUGACUACACGCUGACAGCACAGCUGGGCCUCGUCCAUCGGCUUGGAGUUCUGGGGAACCGCCAUGUUGACUUCACCCGGGAAUUAGCCUCACCGUGCAGACGGCUGUGUGCCAUCUGUGGAGGCCCUGGGCUCUGAUAGGCUAACGUCAAGCCUGGAUUCCAAUUUUAAGUUGCUUCUAAGUGGAGCCUGGUGCCUUUUGAACAUUAAGUGAUAGUGAUUGAGAUUGCCAUGACUGACUGUCACAGUGUAAAGUUACGAGAGGAUCGUCUUAGUUGCCAACUAGUGUUUCAGUCUGCGUGUUUACCCCCAUGAGACAGAAACACAGAGUUCUGAAGGUACCUGCUCUCUGUUGGGACGCACGCGGAAGACGAGGCACGGGGUCCCCUAAGACGUUCUUGGCACACGCAGCGUGCAAACCCAGGGAGAGAAGGGUCCAUAUGGCACACAGCAUCUCUAGUUGAAAAAUAAGCCUUCUCGAGGAAGGAGGCUUGGGGAUUCUGAAGUCAAACUGCAAGGAACAAAUGUGCUAUUUUAAUUUUGGCCUUGACACUUCCUCCCCUGGAAGGGCCUCAGCAUUGCAUUCUGCUCAGCACACGCCAUGCCAGAGGCGCCCGCUCUCUGCUUUGCAGGGCUGGGCCGAGGCCGUGCAGCCUCAGGGGGCCGGAGGAGGGGCUCUAGCUGAGUCCCCAGCAGGCCCCAGAGCUGGGGUGCUUCUUCCCCGCCCCCACCACUCCCUUUGAAUUUCAGAGGUGGGUGCCUGGGCGUACUCACACAUUAGACCCGCUCUCCCGACCCUGAAACACCUGCUUCUGCCCCGGAGUGGGCCCUGGGUCCUUCCUUCCCUCACCUGGGAACAGGCGCCUCCUGGCUCGUGCCCCGUGAGGUGGGGGCCGCGGGCCAGAGUGACAGACGUCUGUGUCCCACCAGGACAAUUUGUCGGCCUCGUUAUCGCGAGCUGUGUGGUAGCACGGCCGGAGGUCUGGGUCAGAGUGGCUUCCAAUUAAAACUCUCUGGAGGACGGA